UUUCUGCCUCCCAACUGGAGUUAAGGGUAUGCAUGCUCCUGCCUCCCUAAUUCAUUUAUUUUUUUAACACUAUUAAUUCUUUGUUUCAACAUGUACCCCAAUCCCACUCAUCCUCCACUCCCCUCACACUUGCCCCUCUACCCUUGCAACCUCCCACCAACAGAAAAAAAAAUCUCAUUAUGGAAGCCGUAGUGUGUCACACAGUAGACCCUUUUGUCCACACUUCUCUGCUUGCAAAUGUUCAUCUCAAUGACUCCUUCAUCUGAUACAAGGCCUCACAUUUUUGCUACUCUUAUCAUUACUGGAGCCUCACUGAGACUCCUCUUGAAUAUAAGAUAUCCAAGAGGAUAUAGAAUAUAUAGCCUGUAUCAUGGAGAUUCUGUAGUUGUGGAUCUGUAGGACCAGCCCCUGCAUGCACUCCAGCAGUUCAUCAAUGGGGUAGAUGUUGGAGUGGACUGAUUCAAGCCCUGGAUCUGGCCUGAGAGGAAUCUGAGUUGGUCAGCCUGCUGGCUCUUGUACGUUCACAUCCACAGAGCCAGUUCACCAGCAACCCUUGCAACUAGGGCCAGCUCUAUUCUGUUGCCUAUGUGGGGUGCUCACUCUCCUUAUUGUUGCAGCUGUUGAGGGUUAUGGCCAAGUCUAUUCGCAUGACCCUGGGACCAGGUCUCCCACCUGCCAUAGAUGGUGAGGGACAAGGGAAGGGAGAAGGACACCUUUCCCUCUGCCACUGCCCAGUAGGCAAGAGCCCAAGAGCCUCUGCAGGCUGGCUCACCUGUAACCACCCCAUCCAAGGCUAGCUUUCUGUGUUGCCCAGGCGAGGUACAGGGCCCUCUCCCCUGAGUGCUAUAGUGCAUGAAGGACAAGGUCAGCUCUUCUGCUUUCAUGAUGCCAGGGCCAGGUCUUCCACCUGCUACAGUUGGUGGGGGUCAAGGGGAAAGGAUGGUAUCUCUCCUUUGUCCAUACCACUGUAUGGGAGGCAAGUGGUAGGGCCAGCUCUCCCAUGCCCAUAUCCUUGGGGCUAGCACACCGGCAAUGUGCAGAGCCUGCUCUCCUGAGUACUGAAGCUGGCUACGGGCAGAGUCAGCUCUCCUGCUCUCAUACACUCAGGGUCAGCUCUCCCAUGAUGCCCAGGUGAGGGGUGGGACCAGUUCUGCACAGCCCUCAGACAUCAGCAUGUCCCAGAGUGACAGAACAAACCAGAGACAUCUGCCUGGCCUUCGAGGGUAACAGUCCUGCUGCUGCAGGGCCACAGACACAGAUGUGGCUCCUAGUGGCAGCACAGGCCAGGACCCUACCAUGAUCCAGGUGGCAUCACUGGCUACUCACAUUAGCUGUUCCUCAUUACCCUCCAGUUUUGCCUCUUCAUUAUGCACACAUCCUUCUGUUUCUCUUUCUCUUCCAUCUCUCCUCCACUUACGUGCUCUUCUCAGUGGUGCCUGGGGUCUCCCAGUGUCUGGGAUCUUCUCAGGAGUGGUCUCAUGGCGCUAACCUGGUGGUCAUCUUGGGCUCUAUCCUUGUCCAGCCCACCCAAGUGGCCCUUUUUGAUGAUGGUUGUCUUGGGCUCAUGGCCACCUGGGGCUGGAGGUCCAGGAAGGGUGCUUCUAGUCUCCAGCUUGCUCCCCUUCCUUGAAGUUCAUCUGGGUCUGCCUGGCACUGGACUGCUAGUUGUCUUAGGCUCACUUUUUCAGGGAAUUUUAGGCUACCAAUCAUUUAUAGGUCAAUGAUUACAGGUCAAAACACUGAGCAUAGACAUAGCCUCUCUCCCCUCUGCCACCUAUUGACAUACAUGUAACAUAGCAGCCACACCUGCAAUGCCUCUGGGGCAGGUCAUUUAUUUUUUAAAUAGGUGCUUUUAGGAUAAUUUCCAUGACAAUUAUAAAUUAAUACUAUUCACCACAAAAAGAACAGAGAGAUGGGAAAUAGCUCUGUAGGAAGAAGGCUUAGCAUUCAUGAGGUACUAGGUUAAAACAAUGAGAGUAUAUAACCAUCUUUGGGGGCUCACACCAGUAAUUCCAGCAUUCAGAAGGAUGAAUUUGAGGCUAGACUGGGCAACAAAGUAACCUCCAGGUCAUUCUAAGUAACAGAAAGAGCUUAUCAAAAAAACAAAACAAAACAAAAAAACAAACAGACAACUUCAAUAACACCCCACUGCCUACCACCACCAAAAAACCAAAAAUAAAAACAAAUAAGUAAAUAAUGAAACAUAUGUUAUAAACACACUGAAUAGGUCAUUUUAAUAUCUCCCUGACUCAGUUUACCUUGUAAAUUAACCAUUUCUAUGUUACUAUAAUAACCAUCACAUUCUGAACCAACUGAUCUACGUGGACCAUGUUGGGUAUUUAUGUUAUUUUAUUUUGGCAGAAUAAAGUGGCUUUUGGUGAAUAUUUCAUUAGUUAAAGUUAGUGCCUUACAGACAGAUUUCUGAGUACUAUGUACUGAGUACUAAAUACAAAACCUUUUUAGGGAUCUUGUAAAUUUUGUUUUGUUUUGUCGAGGUUGGACCUUGCAAUAUAGUUAGGCUGGUCCUGAACUCUUGGUUGGACCUUGCAAUAUAGUUAGGCUGGUCCUGAACUCUUAGCCUCCCUCCCUCAGCCUCCUGAGUACUAAAACUUACAGGGUUCUUGACAUACUGCCAAGCUGCAGUUGGUUUUCAAAAAGUUGUAGUGACUUAGCCACGUAGGGAAGAUCCCGUUUUACCACAACUUCAUUAACACAGAGAAAUAUGUGCACAGUCUUUUAAAAUACCUUAUUUUUAAUGUGCAAAUACCCAGGCACUCGAGAGAUGACAUUUUCCUGUGAUUCUUGUUUGUCUCUUAAAUGCAUUUUCUUUAUUUUGUAUCCACUUUUAAAAACUUUUCUUUACUCUCUUUUUUUUUUGGGCAAGAUGAGUUUUCAUUUCCAUUUUUAUGUUGUUACAUUCUAGCAAAACACUUUUCUCAGUCCACGAGCUGUGUUUUAUUUAUAUUUUGAUGUUCAGAAAUCCUCUCCACUGUGUAAUUAAUUCUGGCAAUCUCUUCUAUAGCUUUUUCCAUUGCUUUCAUACUUUGAAAUCUUUUCUCUCUCCGACUUCAUAAUAACCUUUCAUUCUGUUUUCUUCCAGUGUUACAUAUGGCCUCUAAUCCAUCUGGAAAUGAUUUUGAAAGAUGCUAACAAGUAUGAGCCAAAGCAUGACUACCAAGAAAGCCAAGAGAAACCCGGGAAUAACAUUCUUACUGCACAGCCAAGACCCAAUUCAACUGUCUGGGUGUACAGAAUAGCCCUGGCAUCAGUAACAACCCAGCACCAUGGCCUUCGAGGCAAAGGAAAGGUAAUGGAUCUAUCAACACAUGGAGAUGCCCUAGAGAACCAGUCCUCCAGGCUCUUUAGCUAGUGGGAAAUCACUUGGAUUUAGAAACAGGAUCAGAUGAGGAAGGUGAACUGGGACUCAUCAAAGAAAGGGGACGCCAGAAAGUUCUCAGAGUUAAGGAACAAACUUCAUAAAACUGGGAAGGAAAGCUAUCUGAGGAAAGAAAUAGGAUUUUGAUUCUGCUGUAAUUUUUGCAAACUAUUUGUCUGUCUGUUUACCUAAGACUUAAACAUGCUUUCUACAUUCUAUCAAUUUCAGUACAUUGACUGUCUGAUAUUUACAUUCUGGCAUUCUUCACUGACUGACCUAUCACAUUGACAGACAUCUUUACUAGUUUUUCUGUGGCCAUUGUGUCUGUGAGCCAUCUCUCCAACCCCUCAUUCUUCUUUUUUAUCUUUUAAAAUAAUCUUAAUUAGGUUUCAGUAUAAAUUUCUUUAAAGAAAUGGAAGGUUUUGGAAUUAUUUAAAUAGCAAAGAUCAAUCAGCCUUUAGAAGAAGCUAAUGGCACUUGUGGCUUCAUUCUUAUGGGAAAAAUAGGCCAGAUGCUGAGUAUCUUUAUUUCAUCCACACAAACUUUGUUUGUAUUUUGUGGUCAUUGGGACUAGUUUGGGUAUAUUGCCUAUGGUCUUAUAGGUGUGGAGUUUUAUUUCCAAAGUUAUGCAAACAGUAUUUUUCUUAAUAAAAAAAAA